UACAGAGGAGCCAAGCGUUGUCCGGAUUGACUGGGCGUAAAGCGCACGCAGGCGGGGGCGCGCGUGGGGGGUGAAAUCUGGCCGCUUAACGGCCAGGCGCCAUCCCAUACGGCGCGUCUGGAGUGAUGCAGAGGUCGAUGGAAUUGCCGGUGUAGUGGUGAAAUGCGUAGAGAUCGGCAGGAACACCCAGGGGGAAACCAGUCGACUGGGCAUCUACUGACGCUGAGGUGCGAGAGCGUGGGGAGCGAACCGG
rnacentral:rRNA from 1 species